rnacentral:rRNA from 1 species
CCUACGGGUGGCAGCAGUAGGGAAUAUUGCUCAAUGGGGGAAACUCUGAAGCAGCAACGCCGCGUGGAGGAUGAAGGUUUUAGGAUUGUAAAGUUCUUUUGUUAGAGAAGAUGAUGACGGUAUCUCACGAAUAAGCACCGGCUAACUCCGUGCCAGCAGCCGCGGCAAUAAGGAGGGUGCAAGCGUUAUUCGGAAUGACUGGGCGUAAAGCGUGCGUAGGCGGGGUAAUAAGUCAGAUGUGAAAUCCUGUAGCUUAACUACAGAACUGCUAUUGAAACUGGUAGUCUGGAGUGUAGGAGAGGUAGGUGGAAUUCUUGGUGUAGAGGUGAAAUGCGUAGAGAUCAAGAGGAAUACCCAUUGCGAAGGCGAACUGCUAGAACAUAACUGACGCUGAUGCACGAAAGCGUGGGGAGCAAACAGGAUUAGAUACCCGAGUAGUC